UCAUAUGGUUUAAAUUCAAUAGUAACUCGAACUUAUUAAAUUCCAUCAACAAAAAGAAGGAACUAACUCUGUAGGUUUUAUUAUGACAAGCUAUUAUCGUAAAUAAUAACAGAAUUACGAGUCUUAGUAAUUAUAGUUAUAAAAUAAGGCGGAACACUAAGUUUGUGAGAAAUGAUAAUUCGUGUCUUGUAUUAUUCUAUCUUGUAUCUUCCAUUGUUCCUAUCAAUUAUGUUCUGAAAAUUGGAAAUCAACAAGCAAAA